rnacentral:rRNA from 1 species
GACGUAGGGGGCGAGCGUUGUCCGGAUUUAUUGGGCGUAAAGAGCGUGUAGGCGGUUCAGUAAGUCUGCUGUGAAAGUCCAGGGCUCAACCCUGGGAUGCCGGUGGAUACUGCUGGGCUAGAGUACGGAAGAGGCGAGUGGAAUUCCCGGUGUAGCGGUGAAAUGCGCAGAUAUCGGGAGGAACACCUAUUGCGAAGGCAGCUCGCUGGGACGUUACUGACGCUGAGACGCGAAAGCGUGGGGAGCAAACAGG